rfam:Rattus norvegicus chromosome 18, whole genome shotgun sequence.
GGGGAUUUGGCUCAGUGGUAGAGUGCUUGCCUAGCAAGCACAAGGCCCUGGGUUCGGUCCCCAGCUCCG